UCUAUUUUAUUCUCGUCAAGGCUCAUGUCUACCAUUUUUUUCGGACAAAGCAGUGCUCCAAAAGCGUGCACAAAAAUACUCUUUUUUGGUCUUCAUCUCAAUUGAAUUGGUCAUCCGGAG
ensembl:ncRNA Y106G6D.9 ncRNA